rnacentral:lncRNA from 1 species
GUUUAUAAAUUUUCAACUGAAUCUUACAAAGCUACAAAAACCCUUUUGCCAACAAAUGCUACUAAAUUUUGUAUUGGUCUUUCCAGCUUUCUGAGGUGUAUGAGAUGGAAAACUGAUUCUGCUAGUGGCUUUGUGAUUUAAAAAAUGUUUGUAACAGUGUCUUUAUAACUGAAUGCAUGUGAAAACCAGAAAGCAAAAAGGGUUGAACGAAAAUUUGAGGGUAUAUUACCAAUAUGUGGCAGUUUUGCAGCGUGAGCAUGUUGUAACUGAAGUGCAUAAUCUGCCACAGAAGGAGCAAGCACAGUGUGCACUGUCUUGUUCACAGAAUAUGUAGUUGUUUCUGUCAUCACUGAUUUGCACAUGUUCUUUGAAAUGAUUGUCCUCACUGGAAUUGUUAUUGGAUAACUUGUUUUCUAGCCAGAAAAGUAACCCUAUGAAGGGCAAUAUCACGAACACUAUGAUCAUAAGAACACAAUUUUGAGUCAAGGUUACCCCAUAAACAUUCAUCACGAAUGUUUUAUUGUCCACUGUUGGAUUAUGUGCA